CACACAGUCACGUGGUCUGACAGCCUGAACUGGCCAAUUUAGGCUCACGGGUGUUAAAAAUGUUUUCUUUAUAAGAGAGCCAUGGUCCCCUCAACUGGAAAAAAGAAAAAAAUUGAAGUAGCAGCUAAGGAUAAUAAGGGGAAAAGGCAGCAAAGAAGAGAAGAGAAUAAGAGUUCUGAAAGGUUAACUAUUAUUUUUGUAAUUUUAUUUUGGUUAGGUUAGAGUUUUAAAGAAAGGAGGCAACAAAUUUUAACACUCGUUGAGGGCACCAUGGCUCUCUUAUAAAGAAAAUAUUUUAACACCCUUGAGGCCUUAAUUAGUCAGUUCAGGCAGUCAGACCGUGUGACUAUGU
rnacentral:pre_miRNA from 1 species